rnacentral:rRNA from 1 species
UACGUAGGGAGCAAGCGUUGCUCGGAAUUACUGGGCGUAAAGGGCGCGUAGGCGGGAUGGCAAGUCGGUCGUGAAAUCCCUCGGCUCAACCGAGGAACGUCGAUCGAUACUGCUGUUCUUGAGGAUUGCAGAGGAGACUGGAAUUCCCGGUGUAGCGGUGAAAUGUGUAGAGAUCGGGAGGAACACCGGUGGCGAAGGCGGGUCUCUGGGACGGUACUGACGCUGAGACGCGAAAGCGUGGGGAUCAAACAGG